GUGUCAGCCGCCGCGGUAAUACAGAGGGGGCAAGCGUUGUUCGGAAUUACUGGGCGUAAAGGGCGCGUAGGUGGCCUUCUAAGUUGAACGUGAAAUCCCUGGGCUCAACCCAGGAACUGCGUCCAAGACUGGGAGGCUUGAAUCCGGGAGAGGGAUGCGGAAUUCCAGGUGUAGCGGUGAAAUGCGUAGAUAUCUGGAGGAACACCGGUGGCGAAGGCGGCAUCCUGGACCGGUAUUGACACUGAGGCGCGAAAGCCAGGGGAGCAAACGGGAUUAGAUACCCCGGUAGUCCUGGCCCUAAACGAUGAAUGCUUGGUGUGGCGGGUAUCGAUCCCUGCCGUGCCGAAGCUAACGCAUUAAGCAUUCCGCCUGGGGAGUACGGUCGCAAGGCUGAAACUUAAAUGAAUUGGCGGGG
rnacentral:rRNA from 1 species